rnacentral:rRNA from 1 species
GCCGAUGACUCGGGGAUAGCCUUUCGAAAGAAAGAUUAAUACCCGAUGGCAUAGUUCUUCCGCAUGGUGGAACUAUUAAAGAAUUUCGGUCAUCGAUGGGGAUGCGUUCCAUUAGGUUGUUGGCGGGGUAACGGCCCACCAAGCCUUCGAUGGAUAGGGGUUCUGAGAGGAAGGUCCCCCACAUUGGAACUGAGACACGGUCCAAACUCCUACGGGAGGCAGCAUG